AAUUUUAUCUUUUCAGGGAGGGUAUUACCCAUAUCCACAGUAUCCACCAGCAUAUCCAUAUCCAUAUCCAUAUCCAUAUGAAGGAAAGUAAUAAUCACAGGACAGAUGACAGAGGCUUGGUGAGAAGUCUUCUUUGCUCUCUCCUCAUGACGAUUCUUCUUACUCAAAAAUCCUUUGACAUAUCUAGCAACGUAUUAUCAGCCUGCUUACAAUAAAUACAUCCAACGUGCUUCAGAAAGCAUAUUUUAUCAAACAAUUCAAAAAGUAAAGCAUUAUUUGUAUUCUCUCAGGCAUUAGGUUGGAAUUU